rnacentral:misc_RNA from 1 species
UGACUCCUCCCAAUCACCUCAGUCA